AGUGGGGGAUAACGUAGCGAAAGUUACGCUAAUACCGCAUAUGCCCUGAGGGGGAAAGGAGGGGAUCGCAAGACCUUUCGCUUUCGGAGUGGCCGAUAUCGGAUUAGCUAGUAGGUGAGGUAAAGGCUCACCUAGGCGACGAUCCGUAGCUGGUCUGAGAGGACGACCAGCCACACUGGGACUGAGACACGGCCCAGACUCCUACGGGAGGCAGCAGUGGGGAAUUUUGGACAAUGGGCGCAAGCCUGAUCCAGCCAUGCCGCGUGAGUGAAGAAGGCCUUCGGGUUGUAAAGCUCUUUCGGACAGAAAGAAAUCRCAUYMKCUAAUACCRGGUGGGGAUGACGGUACUGUAAGAAGAAGCACCGGCUAACUACGUGCCAGCAGCCGCGGUAAUACGUAGGGUGCGAGCGUUAAUCGGAAUUACUGGGCGUAAAGCGUGCGCAGGCGGUUUUGUAAGACAGAUGUGAAAUCCCCGGGCUUAACCUGGGAACUGCAUUUGUGACUGCAAGACUAGAGUGUAGCAGAGGGGGGUAGAAUUCCA
rnacentral:rRNA from 1 species